rnacentral:rRNA from 1 species
CCCUUAGAUGUCCUGGGCUGCACGCGCGCUACACUGACGAACUCAACGAGCUUAUCACCUUGGCAGAGAUGUCUGGGUAAUCUCUUGAAAGUUCGUCGUGCUGGGGAUAGAUGAUUGUAAUUAUUCGUCUUGAACGAGGAAUUCCUAGUAAGUGUGAGUCAUCAGCUCGCGCUGAUUACGUCCCUGCCCUUUGUACACACCGCCCGUCGCUCCUACCGAUUGAAUGGUCCGGUGAGGUUCUCGGAUUUUUUCUGUUGUUUGGUUCGCUAAACGAUUGAAGAGAGAAGUUACCCAAACCUUACCAUUUAGAGGAAGGAGAAGUCGUAACA